rnacentral:misc_RNA from 1 species
GUAGGUGAACCUGCGGAAGGAUCAUUACCGAGAUAGGGUCCCUUCGGGGGCCCGACCUCCAACCCUUUGUCUAUAUAACCUCUGUUGCCUCGGUGGGCCGUCGAAAGCUCGUUCUUCGAGCCUAGCCGUCGGCCCCUUGUGAGCCCUCGAGCGCCCACCGAAGGACUCCAAUAAAACCAAAUUUGAAAUCAGACCUCUGAGUGGAAUUUAAUACUUCAAAACUUUCAACAACGGAUCUCUUGGUUCUG